rnacentral:pre_miRNA from 1 species
AAGAUACUCCCUCCGUCCCAAAAUAAGUGACUUAAAAGCGACUCGACUUUGCACUAACUUUAAUACAAAGUUGAGUCGUUUUUUGAGUUACUUAUUUUGGGACGGAGGGAGUACAUA